rnacentral:rRNA from 1 species
GACAUAGGUGGCGAACGUUAUCCGGAAUUAUUGGGCGUAAAGGAUGCGUAGAUGGUGGAGUAAGUUAUUGGUAGAAGUCAAGCUCAACUUGGCAGAAGCUGAUAAUACUGUUCUACUUGAGGACAGGAGAGGUUGGCGGAAUUCUGUGUGGAGCGGUGAAAUGCGUUGAUCUACAGAGGAACACCAAAAAAGGCGAAGGCAGCCAACUAUUCUGAUCCUGACAUUGAGGCAUGAAAGCGUGGGGAGCAAACAGG